rnacentral:rRNA from 1 species
CACUUAUUAGCUAGCUUACUUAAUCUAUUUAACAAG